rnacentral:rRNA from 1 species
GAUGAACGCUGGCGGCGUGCUUAACACAUGCAAGUCGAACGGAAAGGCCCAAGCUUGCUUGUGUACUCGAGUGGCGAACGGGUGAGUAACACGUGGGUGAUCUGCCCUGCACUUCGGGAUAAGCCUGGGAAACUGGGUCUAAUACCGGAUAGGACCACAUUUUGGAUGGUGUGGUGGAAAGUUUUUCGGUGUGGGAUGAGCUCGCGGCCUAUCAGCUAGUUGGUGGGGUAAUGGCCUACCAAGGCGUCGACGGGUAGCCGGCCUGAGAGGGUGUACGGCCACAUUGGGACUGAGAUACGGACCAGAGUCCUACGUGAGGCAGCAGUGGGGAAUCUUGCCCAAUGAGCGCACGCCUGAGGCGGCGACCUUCGGGUUGUGAAGCCGUCCUGUGGGUAGUGAACAGCUGUCGCUAGAUACGCCGCGGAAGUGACGGUACCCGGAGAAGAAGCACCGGCUAACUACGUG